UACAGAGGGUGCAAGCGUUGUUCGGAAUUAUUGGGCGUAAAGCGCGUGUAGGCGGCUUUGCAAGUCGGGUGUGAAAGCCCUCAGCUCAACUGAGGAAGUGCGCCCGAAACUGCAGAGCUUGAGUGCCGGAGAGGGUGGCGGAAUUCCCCAAGUAGAGGUGAAAUUCGUAGAUAUGGGGAGGAACACCGGUGGCGAAGGCGGCCACCUGGACGG
rnacentral:rRNA from 1 species